rnacentral:rRNA from 1 species
UACGGAGGGAGCUAGCGUUGUUCGGAAUUACUGGGCGUAAAGCGCACUAGGCGGCGAUUCAAGUCAGAGGUGAAAGCCCGGGGCUCAACCCCGGAACUGCCUUUGAAACUAGAUUGCUAGAAUCUUGGAGAGGUCAGUGGAAUUCCGAGUGUAGAGGUGAAAUUCGUAGAUAUUCGGAAGAACACCAGUGGCGAAGGCGACUGACUGGACAAGUAUUGACGCUGAGGUGCGAAAGCGUGGGGAGCAAACAGG